AAUUGAAAAACUCCUCGCUCCAAACACUUUUAGUAACUGGGAGCAGGACAGAACUUCAUAGUCCUCUGAAGAAGCGACUGUGUCACGAAACGUCAGGACAUGGCUUUUAAACUUGUUUGGAUGGCUCUUUUUUGCUACAGUGUGCACACUGAUUCUUUUAAAGGAUUACUUUUUUCAAUAAAGAGGAUUAAUUGAUUUUUUCCUGGACUGAGCCUAUCGUUUGGAGAAGAGUUCUGCUGGAGGCCGUUUGGCUGAAUCCUCUUGGACCAGUCUUCAGUGUUUGGACACCAGGCGGAUCUCUCUAUGGUCCGGUGGGUAUGUUGCAGAUAACACCAACCAAUGGAUGCGACAGAACAUGCGGCUCCUUCUUGACCACUAUACGGUGACCCAAUCUAGUUUGCUGGCUAACAUAAUAGAGUGGCUUGAUUCGGCUUGGGAACAAGCAUUGAUGGCGGUUUCUUCUGGCACCUCUGCUUUGACUUCUGUACAGACCCUUCCCAAUGUAGAUUUGGAUCGAUCAGAACAUGCAGGUUUUUCUUGUGAGCCCUCGUCUCGGAUCUCCACAAACUUGAUCCCACAGGUCCAUUCGACGGUGGUUGUCAGUUUCUGCAAGGCCAAACCGGUCACGGUUGAGGCAGAGAUGCAUCAUUUGCCCACAGAGGAUUUGAUCCAAUUGUGUGAUACUCCAGAUAGAACUCUAGUACUUGGAGAUAAGGUUGUUGAUAUACAGGUUGAUGGUGAGAUACAAUCAUGUGAUAUUGUCUUCAGUAAUGUAGCUGUCCCUAUAUCACAAACUAUUCUGCCUUGUACCCCUAAUUCUGACUCAGUGAAGGAGGCCGAUUCGGGAUCAGGUAAAGAGGCUGUGAUGAAGGACAUAAUAAAGGACUCUUGACCAAGGUCUUAUCUGAAGCCUCCUCAUUUUUAA